GGAGAGGUGGCUCAGUGGUUAAGAGAACUGAUUGCUCUUCCAGAGGUCCUGAGUUCAAAUCUCAGCAUCCACA
rfam:Rattus norvegicus chromosome 16, whole genome shotgun sequence.